AGAGUGGAAAAACUCCCUUGACGGUACUUAAUGAAUAAGCCCCGGCUAAUUAUGUGCCAGCAGCCGCGGUAAUACAUAAGGGGCGAGCGUUAUCCGGAAUUAUUGGGCGUAAAGGGUGCGUAGGCGGUUUAAUAAGUCUAUAGUUUAAUUUCAGUGCUUAACGCUGUUGUGCUAUAGAAACUGUUUUACUAGAGUGAGUUAGAGGCAAGCGGAAUUCCAUGUGUAGCGGUAAAAUGCGUAAAUAUAUGGAGGAACACCAGAGGCGUAGGCGGCUUGCUGGGACUUUACUGACGCUGAGGCACGAAAGCGUGGGGAGCAAACAGGAUUAGAUACCCUGGUAGUCCACNCCGUAAACGAUGAGUACUAAGUGUCGGGUAAAACCGGUACUGAAGUUAACACAUUAAGUACUCCGCCUGAGUAGUACGUACGCAAGUAUGAAACUUAAAGGAAUUGACGGGACUCCGCACAAGCGGUGGAUCAUGUUGUUUAAUUCGAAGAUACACGAAAAACCUUACCAGGUCUUGACAUUUUCUUGCGAAGUUAUAGAAAUAUAAUGGAGGUUAUCAGGAAAACAGGUGGUGCAUGGUUGUCGUCAGCUCGUGUCGUGAGAUGUUAGGUUAAGUCCUAAAACGAGCGCAACCCUUGUCGUUAAUUGCCAGCAUGUAAUGAUGGGGACUUUAACGAGACUGCCAAUGAAAAAUUGGAGGAAGGUGGGGAUUACGUCAAAUCAUCAUGCCCCUUAUGAUCUGGGCUACAAACGUGAUACAAUGGUUGAUACAAAGAGUAGCUGAAACGCGAGUUCUUAGCCAAUCUCACAAAAU
rnacentral:rRNA from 1 species